UAAAUAAUAAUAAUAUCUAAAGAUUAAAUAAUAAUUUAUCUUAAAUACUAAUGGUUAAAAUAGAGGGAAGGACCUUAAGUGUGAGAUAGAAGCAAAAUUAAGAAACUAAAUAGUUUAAUUUUUAAAAUAUAAAGACUCAAGUGUUAUUAAUUACAAAAUAUUAUUGUUAAAUAAUAAGUUUCCCUUUGAAGAAAACUAAACAACACUAGG
rnacentral:misc_RNA from 1 species